UGCUGGUCUUUUUAGACGUAGCUCGUUCGUAAUAUAUUAGCAUCUCUAAAUUCGAAAUCGGAUUGACUCUGUGUAAUAGACUAUUCGCAGAGGACACUACUUCGGUAGUGGCCGAAUGAGAAAACAGUUAGAAGCUUCCAACUAUAGUAGUCAACUUUAGAUUAGACCUCAGAUCAGGCAGGAUUACCCGCUGAACUUAA
rnacentral:misc_RNA from 1 species